GGUUGUGGCUCAACGGUAGAGUGCUCACCUAGCACAUUUGAGGUCCUGAGUUCGAUCCUCAGUACCA
rnacentral:tRNA from 1 species